GCUCAACGUUAGGAAGACCUGUCUUUGGUUCGCCGCCGGGGCGGGGCCUACUUCCCUCCGCCCCGCUGUUGCCAGGGUGCCGGUUCUGUACGCCGGCGCCUGUGGUGCCGCUGGGGGCUUGGCUUGCAGUUGUUGGGGCUGAGGUUGGUUCUGCUGCUGCCCUCCCCCCGUGCCUGCGGGGGCGCCCUUCCCCCUCUGCUGCCGCCUGUACUCCUGGAUCUUCGCGCCCAGGUAAUCCUCCACGUUGCUCUCUCCGUGGGAUCUCUCC
rnacentral:lncRNA from 1 species